AAGGCAAGAGCUUGGAGAAAUGACGGCUGCCUACAGCUCAUGCCAGCAGGAUCCGUCUGGUUCAAAGGGGACUUUUAGAAGUAGUGGUGACUCCAGCAGCACAGCCACAGAACAAGCGGCAUGCAGGGAUGGGGGGAAGGAGCCCAAGGAGAAGCAUCAGCACCAGACAUCUUAAGCAUGCUUCAUGGCAAAAUAUGCAGUAGAAAAGAGCUGGGCUGCAAGCUGAUUAUUCUUUCCUGGCUAUGAUCAUAUGCUAAUGUUAACAUAAACAUCGACGACGUGCUCUGAGAAGAAGACUACUACCCCAAGGAGUCAAAAUAGAUGAUCAGUGCAGAAGAAAUGAGGUAUAUGUGACGUUGAUUUUAACUACCAAAGCAAUAGUUUGGCACACGCUGUGGGAUACUACAGAACUAGCAUGCAAUUACUACCGAAGUGUCUCUAAUAGUUACAAAAUACUCCCAGAUAAAUUUGCCUGAUGCCUAUUGAUCACUAAGAGCACAUCAUUUCUUAAACAGCUACUACAGCAGUAUUCUGAUCCAAUCCUACUUACAUACCAUGCAUUUUACACUUUCAUGUACUACCAAUGGCUAAAAAUAACCUUAUCUUUUCCUACCCAAGGACUAUUCCAGCAUGUGCAACUUGCAGUACAACAGUAAAAUAUCCAUAGUAUUCCUGAAUCUACCAAAUGUCCCAUGGUGGAAUUUGUUCUCCUGGAGCCUGCUGUGGGGUGUGGAAAAGUUUUCAGGUCUCCAAGCAUUUUGUGCUAUCUAAAAAUGGGAAAAUAAGAUAUGGGAAGUGAUUUGUCAAGUGUGCUGAAAGUUUUCAGUCUGCAAUUGUGGGCAGAGCCAUCUCUACUGACCUCUACCACAGUACAGAUUUUAAUUAACUGUGAACAUUUUUCUACUAAUUUGCAGUUCUUAAGCCAUGGGCCAAGAAGCACAAAGUGACUGGUCAUGUGCUUAUAACCAUCGCUUGUUUUUCAGCAGUUAAGUUAUAUUCAAAUAAGCUAACAUGCUGUACUUGCAACCUUCCUGCUGUUACCAGUACUUUUCCACAGUUCCUGUAGCUAGCUGUGAGAUAUUCUGUGAUCAGAAAGAACUGAAAACCUGGUUCAGGCAAUUGUGAAGAGAAAUAAGAUGCUGCCCAAGAGAAUGUUUUUACUUUAUGACUGUCAAGACGGUUGUAUAAAAGAAACAUAAGAAUCACAAAACUGGACACGAGCAUUUCUUUGAACAAGAAGGCAAAAGAAAACUAUUUUUAGUCCUAGCUGAGUUUCUCUGCUGGUGAUUCCACACGUGAUGUUACUUCUUAAUAUAUCCAAGUGAAGGUUUCAAAGCCAUCCAGAAUAUCCUCCAUUUUUCUGAAGAAAUGCACAUACAGAAACCUGGCUAAUAAAAAGACAAAACCAUAUGGGCAGGAUGCUUAACUUGAUCUGCAGGAUCCCAAGCUGUUUCCAAGAGCUGGCUCUCCUGUCCACAGAUCCCAUCUGCCCUUGAUGCCAGUGAUGGUAGGACCCUUCUUGGAAGAUGUCUGGUCCGUCUUUGCCACCCUGGGUGUGCCAUGUGAUGUCUCCUCCAGAACAGAUGGAAUGUAUAGAGGAAAUUUGGAAGAAUCUAGGGCUGAACCAUGCUGCAGCUUAGAGCAUCUCUGCAUGCGCUCUGAAACGUGGGGACACAACCAAAGGGCAUCUCUUCAACUUUCUUCUGUCUCCUGCUGCUGUCCCUUGCUGUGCAUCUAUUUAGUCACUCAAGAGCCAGCCUCGGAGAGCUGGGACAAAACAUAGAACCGAGGCAGCAUCAUCAAGAUAGCUACGGAUAGUGGAGAAGACAGAGCUAUUUCCAGAGUGAUUAAUACUAUUAGCGCAUGCUGAAGCUUAAGGCUUAACAUAAGCUUUAAAGGGAUGGAUUUUGAUGUAAAAAGUGAAUAAAUGAGACAACUGUCAGAAUAAUGAGUGCUGAACCAAAUAAAGAUUCUUAGCGUAGGAGAUGCAAAGCCCUCCCCGCUGGCCUGUUUUCUCUGAAGCUGCUGGUACAAUUCCCAUUGCCCUUCAGGCUGGAGAAACAGCCUGGUGAUGGUGUGUGGCACAAAGAUACGCAAAUCAGCAUGCAGCAAGGCUGUCUUCAUGGCUAACCGAGCACACCAUAUUUUAGCAUGAGCACAGCCAUGGAAAUACACCAGUAGCCAAGACUGCUAGCCCCCGUUCCGCUGCUGGAGCCUGCUGCAUCAUGUCUGUGCUGCCCUGCCCUGUGCAGACCCAGAUGCUUGCAAGAGUACCAGUCUGAGGGCUCCUCCUCUGGCUGAAUUAAAAGCCAGUCUCAAAGGGCACAUCUCGCUGGAUCAUCCUCUUGUAAUCCCCACUGCGGAGUUCUCGAUGCCAUAAUUGAAAACCUGCUGCUCAUCUUUUGAAAGUCAGGUUUAAGCUACCAUAGGAAACUCCCAGAAGGGCAGAGUUUUGCAUGAACUGUUACAUAGAGGGAUCAGGUUUAGUAUUUCUCUGGUUUUCUUCUCUUGACACUCUGGUCUCACCAGAGAGCAGGCAAACAAAAGCUCGUAAUAACUGUACAAUACAUCCUCUUCCCCAGACCCCUUUUAUUAUCCCCAGACUUCCACACUAUUUGUUUUGCUCAGUAUAUCAAAUUGUAUGGCCAGCAUUCAAAAAUACGCCCUUUUCUUUCUUACACUAGACAUUUGGAAAAUAGAUGCUUCUAAUGGAUCCACCAAUGCGUGGUGGGUUUUGUUCCAUCAGAUGUAUCUGUUUCUGUGUAGUAGCUAACUGAGCCUAUACAGAGCCACACGAUCCCCUUUCCCAUCUCGCCUUAUGGCCUCUGAGGAAUGUUGCAUUGGCUGCGAGGGAAUUACUAGAUCUUGGCAAGACACGCUAAUAUCCUCGCAAAGACUUGUCAGGGACCAAGACUUCAGCCUCCAACUAUUUCCUCUGAUAAAGCAGAGUAUUCACAGCAGUUCAUCAGUCUCGAAUCAACAGUUUGACUUUGUCUGAGAGAAAUGCAAGAUCCACGCAGGGCUCUGCAAGCACAGCUGGUGCUGCCUGCUGGGCAGCAGGCUUUGCAGCAGAAAUACGGUGUCAGAUCCCACUGGAGUCAUCAGAGGCUCAGGACACUUCAGUCUGGGCUUGGGAAAAAGAACACCCAGGUUGUGAAUUAUGGCAAUACCUGCUGCAUUCCGAUUUGAAAGGAAAUUCUUACAUCUGAAAGCUUGGACUUAUUUGCUUGGAGAUGCAAAUUCAGUGGAAACGUUUCCUCUUGAAAACCUGCUUGUGUUCAUACGCAAAGUUUGCAGCAGAGACAGAAAUACAAUCCCCCUUCAUGACAUCUACUCUUUUUUUUUUUUUUAACACUGUGUUAUCUUUCCGUUAGCAUUAGAAAUGUCGCUGAUAACCCUUGACAACACCAGCAUCAUUUCUGUAGCUGGAUCUAGGAAGCCAGUUGCACAGCAUGGAAAGUAUUUUUGCUAUCUUGUUUUGAACUGCUGAUAACAACAUCAUCAGUGAAGGAACCACAUUGUUCACUCAGAGGACAGGGAGGAUUCCCCCUCAGGCCCAGCCUGCAGCUGUCCCAGCUCUGUCCCCACAGUGGGAAGGCAAUGUCCCAGCUGCACGUCCUGUGGAGCAGGAGUGGCUUUCUGACAGCAUCAGAGGCACAGCUCCGCUGCCAGCAACAGAAGAUGGAUCGUGAAACAAAUUCUGCACCAACUCCACGUGGGAAAAAAUGGCAUUUGAACAGUUUCUAAAACAAGCAGAGCAGCAGAAGCUGCCAUGAGCUCCCCUUGUUCCAGAGCAUGGCACAGAGGAGACCAAGACCAAGCCUUCUGCACGUGAGCUGCAACCCCAGCCCUGGGCAGCCAGGGGGCUUCAGGCGGGUGAGGGCAUCAUCUGGUGCUCAGAAAGUCCCCAGUCCCAUUCUAUUGGUGCCAGACCAGCCUAAUCACACCUCUGGUGGUGCAAAAGGAAGUGAAACAGAUGGUUCUUAUGCAUGCAUUCAACAGCUUUGAAAAGACUCAAGCUUGCAGAACACAGAGCAGAGCUGGCAGAUCUGGAGCUGGUUUUACAUCUGAACAUCAGGCAGGAUGCUGGAUGAGGAUGCACUGGCUUUGACAGAGGGCCAGCUCCAGCACUACCAUUCUCAUCCUCUUUAGUGUCACCAGGUACCAUUUUCCCAACAAGUACAUCCAAGCCUACCAAAGACUGGAGUCCUGAGAGCCUUCUGAGGAGCAGUAACUCAAACUGCAGUCUUGUACAGAGCCUUUUGGUGUCACCCAAUUCAUCUUUUUGACGUGAGGAUCCAAGUCAGGAAGUCAGUCCAGCAGGUCCAUGAAGAUGUGCCCAUUCCAGUGCACCGUCUCCUGGGAUGUGUGCAUCCCUAGUUAGGCUUGUGUUUAAAUAACAUUACAGAUGUGCUCAAAUGUGGACAAAAGUAUCACAGCACAAGGACAGCGAGCCAGCUCCAUCAGCCAUGCACAACUGGAUGUGUUCAAGCCAGCUGAUGGGUAAUCCUGUGUGUACACAUCACAAAUCCACAGCAUAGCUGGCUGUCUUGCUUGGCAGAAGAGUGCUAUUGCCUCUUGGGAAACAAACAUUCCUGAUCAAAGACUAUCUUCAUACAGUAAAUAAUCAAACAAAAUUGAUGCAUGUUUAUGUAUAUAUACACACAGUUCUCAUGGAUUUAUGUGAUGUUUUGCAUAUGCUAAUGUCAGUCCAGAUGAGGGUGUAGGAGCUGACAGGGAAGCUGCAGCUCCGUUGAAACAAUGGGAAUUUUCUGGUGAACUUCAUUGUGACAGAGAAACUAAUCUCAGAGGUCGUUAAAGACUUCUGAAGCCUGCUAAUUAUACAUUAGCCAAAUCUUAUUACAAAUAAGUAAUAACUAUAGGCACGUUUGUUGUUUUUACUAAUGACAUUAAUGUCUUUUUUGAUGAUUUGCAGAACUCCAGGGGACCAGAUACUCAAUUUGCACUGAUGUAUCUCCCACUCUGGGGAACUCUGUUGAUGUUCGGUGUCUUUUCACCAUCUAUCUUGAGACAAUCCGAGGUCUGUUUUCUGCACGGUGGUUUGAGCUUCCUCUUCUGCUGCACAUUUACACAGAUUUAGUACCUCUCUCAGAUAAUGGAUCUGCGCUCUAUUUUCUAGUGUAUAAGCGACUGUGCGUUAUUCUCUAGCACAUAAGUGAUUGUACAUAGAUUGCACAUUAUUUAUUACUGUUGUUAAGGGGGAUUUGUGCUUUUCCUCCCCCCGCAGUUUCCUUAUCUCCCUUAGGGGAACGGUGGGGACAUGGAAGCCUGCCGUACACAUCCAUUUGUCUUUCCCCUCAGAGUCCCAGAGAGUUCAGGCACCCCGGUCAAAACCCCUGACGUUGCAGUUCACUGUGCGCCAGCAGCAGGGAACGAGCCAGACGUGGAGCUGGUUCAAACACGUUCUGCAAAAUUAUCCGGAUUUGCCUGGCAAAGACAAGCGCGGGUUUUCCCCUCGCAGCCAUCCACGUACCUCUGUGGCGGAUCUGUUGGGAGUUUCCACCGCCUGUUUGCACAGAGCUGACUGUGGGUCCGCGCUGCCCCGCUCUGCUUCCUGUCUGAGAUGAGAACGAGCCGAGACGGUCAGCAGAAACAACCUCACGUCCUUGCGGAUGAAAACCAUGGAACACAAUUUGUCCCGCUAGGGAAAUCAGUGCUUUAAGUGCAUGAGUAAUCCGCUGACUUCAUAGGAAUAGCUCCGGAUGGAUUUUUUCACCGUGCUCUCAGGGGCUGCAGCGCAUCAUGGGUGAGUGCCAGGAUGCUCGACCGGUCUGCUGCUGACCCACGCUGCCCACUGGGGUUUGGGCUGUCCCAUGGGCACGCCUGGCCCCUGCCGUGCACCCCAGGGUUGCAUCGCUGACAAGCAGUCUGUUCCUAGCAUUAGCAUCCCCAGGAACACGCUCAGAAACUAUAGAUGAGGUCAUUCCCCAGAGCCUGCUUAGGUAUUUGGGGCCCUUGACGUGGAGAGGAGCUAAAAUCUUACACUCAAUUAAUGGUUUUUAAAGCGAAACUGGAGCUCUUUUUACAGUACAUUUGGAGUCUGUUAAUCUGGCGCUGGUAAAUGAUUAACAACUUGUUUAUCCUUAUCAUUAGAGAUGGUGCUAACAUACAUUCUUCACUCUUACUUGCUUCAAAAGAGGCACUGGGAGUAACAGCCACCUACACAGAAUCACAAUUGAUCAUUAUUCAAGAAUUAAUAUUGUUUAUUCACGUUAACAAACCUGGGGCUGAUUUCAUCUCCGUGCUGUCCUUUCAAGCAAUCCAUCAAACAAAAUAAGUAACAGCCCACCCCAAAGGCCGUGAGUUUGACUUGAUGCUCUAAACUUCCAAACUUCAGCCCGGGAGAUGAGAGCACACACGCGUCUGUAGGUCUGUGCUUAGCACAAGACGUCCAGUGCAGAAAGACUGAGGGUGUGAGCUUUGUUCUACAUUUGGAGAUUACAAAAAAGUGGAAGCCUGGCCUGGAAUCCAUCACAGAAGCCCCUUGCAGAGCUCACCAUGAAUGACCCAAUACCCGGGCUGAGCUCCCCACCACUGCCCCCAGCACCCCUUGGAGGCAGCUUCUGGGCACUGCUGAUAUCCCGACACAGCAUUGCUGACCCCUGUUCAACCAACAGGAACCUGCCUGAGUGUGGAUGGUGCUGAGGUGAUAAAGCUGGGUUUCUGGAUGCAGAAGGAUGCGCUUUGCUCCACGUGCAUCAUCAGAAUCACAGAUUAGAGAUGUCUUUUGAAAAAUGUGCUCUGAGCGUGAUUUUUUUUCCUUCCAAAAAUAACUUGUAUUUUGCUCAUAUUAAAAGAGCAGGAUGUUCUUUCCUGUCCUACAGGGAUAAGGAGGAAAUGAGAACUAUGGUUUUUUUUUAAUAUGAUAUGAGCUACUAUUCUUCUGGACUAGUGCUGUGAAUCUUGACUUCUUUUUUUCCCCCAGCACUAGCAUUUUAUUCCCUAUGGAUCUCAUUUUGCUUCAUUCAUGCCAGUGUCCUCCCAGUGAGAACAUUCUCUCUUUGAUUUCAGCAGGAUCCCUCCAUAUUUACACCUCUCAGAUCCCAAGGCAGUAUGGAUUGAAGGGAGGCAGCCAACUGAUGGCAGCGAAUGCUGAAUGCCUCCAAGCCCCUUUCCAAUGAGACAAAGUCAGUGCAGAGACACGAGUGGGGGCAGAGAGCAUCCCUUCCUGUCCUCUGCAUUUAAAGGAAAGAGGCUGCGCUGUGGAGGAAAUGUGAAUGUAAUGAACUGGACAUUUGAGUCCCAUUGUGCUGAGGUCUGACAGGAAACACUUGGGGUUCGAUUCAGGAAAAAGUACAGAGUAUUCCUUUAUAAUACUCUCAUAACCCCAACUAUCCCGCAGCAUUUCACUGCCUGAAUGUCUUUAAUGUAUAUAUUCUCGCAGCACUCUCCAGGAGACCAGAAGGAAACCUGGCCACUGGGGAGUGGGGGAGGCAUGGGAAGAGACUGUAGGGAUGUUUCCAGCCAACAGCCAUCCUAAAUGACAGCAUAAGGCCAGCAGCUCUCUCUCUUUCCAACCAAAGGGACCCCAGAACAGCUGCCUUUGCUGCUGACCAUGACAGUUUGCUAUGGGAAGAAGGACACUGCUCCAACUAUAGGAGCUACAAACUGCCUCAAGUCUUACAAAAGACCCAAACUGCAAAGACCACAAAAGAAACCCCAUACAACCCAGAAGAGAUGGAUUGAGGGCAGAAUGCCCUUGAUUGAAAAAGGAGGCACCCAGGAAAUCUUGAGG